ACAUUGUGAUAUCAGAGUCUCCAUUCUUUUUCACAUACCCAUGGGUCCUCUCUGAGCCAAUAUCAUGAAGGAGGUUAUGAAAAUAACAACAUGACAGUCAGGAUGAUGACAGCUUGAGAAGUAAGCUGUUCCAAGACAUGGAAAGUCCUCAGAGGAGCAGACUGGAAAUGCAGUGAAAAAAUUAGAGAGGAAACCAGUGUGGGCACCCCACGCUCUGGCUUCACUGGAAUGCUGCUGGGGCUCUGCAUCAAUGAAUUUCAACAUGCAAGUCAUGAACCACUCAGAAGAUCCUUCCAAUGGGCCUCAGGCUGAUUCCAAAGGCAAAUACUUGUUCUAGUUAUUUUGAAGUGAGA
rnacentral:lncRNA from 1 species